CCCCGGGCAAGAACACCCCCUGCGCCCGCCAGAGCCCCGUGGAGCCGCCCCGGCCCCCUCCGCCACCCUCGGGGUCGGGCGGCGAAAGUUUUCCCGACUCUUCCCUGCUUCCAGCUCCACGGCUCCCCGAGCUGAGAGAGAAGCAGGGCGAGACAUAGGUGGGGAGAGCCGGAGGAAAUUGAAAACAUAUUUUAAAAUGUAAACGGGUCGGAGCCAGCCGGAGCGGGCGUGCGGGUGAUGAGGCGCAUGGAGGGACCGGGAGCGGCCCGGCGGAGCAGAGGCGUGUGCAGACCCCAAACCUUCCACGGAACUUUCAUCCCCUAUUGGUAACGUCUUUAGCGAGGGGACAGGAGUAUCUGCCCCGAAAUGGGGCAAAGCAGCGCUCAGAAACCUUCACUGUAACUUAAACCAGAUUGUCAGGGAGCAGCCGCGGCCAGAGGCAGCCGCCGGAGCUGCUCGCCGGGCGAGAGGAUGCCGCUGCCCUCCUCGGAUCUAUUCCUCCCCCGGCCAGCUAGCGAUAAACAUCUCCGGGAGCUGAGACUUUUUAAGGCACCCGAUCCAGAAGAAAAUGCGAAGAAGAAAAGGAAAAAAAAGUUAAUGCAACGAAAUCGGAGAAAUUAUUUCUCCCCGUUUCCAAAGAGGUUGCGGGCGCCGCAGGCUGGCGUCGUGCGGCGGGAGCGAUGCGAGCGCCCUCCGCGCAGCCCGACGGCAGGCAACGGGGGUCCCAGCCCUGCUCCCCGGCUCCGCCGCCCCUCGGCCGCUUUCCACCUCCCGGACUGGAUUUUCUCCCGCCCCAUGCCAGGAUGGCUGACCCAAGCUCCACCGCCGAGAGCCGGUGGGGACACCAACCUGCAAGAGACUCAGACGGCACCGCAGCACUUCCGAGGGGCAGCAGAGCCGCAGCACAGCCCCGGCUCUGCAGCACUUCAGUGAGAGCACCCGGUGUUCCGGCCCCGCUGGACGCACCGGUGGCUCCUCGGGACCGGCCCCCCCUGAGACGGCAGCGGGCACGGGGCACCAGGGGACCGGGCGCCCCAACGGGCGCCCCGAAACCCAGCGGCACCCACAAGUUACAGAGGGAACUUUUUCCUAAGAAGAGGUUUUUUUUAAAGCUUCCGUCCGUAAACCGUCUGUGUGCAGACAUAUUACCCCGAUUACCGUAACUACCUGCGAGCCGGGGAGUAAUAUUUAUCUAUUUAGAUAGGAAGGGUCGCGAUGGAAAAAAUAUCCAGCCUGGAAAUAUACAUCGUCUUUUCCUUUAACCCCUCCUCAUUCAUCCAGACGAUCCCCCACCCCUUCCAUACACAAACCUACUCAAUUUAUAGAGAAGCCUUUACAAUCCAGAACAGUUUCUAGAAGAAGGGAGGACUCCAGAUGAAAUAAUCCCCCUCCCUACACACACACGUACACACAGACACACACGCACAUACACACACUUCCCCCCCGCGCGUGCUCAGGAAGGCAAAUUAAAUAGUUAAAGGCUUCGAUUUCUCUCUCUCUCCCUUUUGUUACCCAAUUUUGGAACAUUUAAGGAUGGGUGUGUGUAUUGUAUUCAAUAAUAAAAGCUAUAGGGCCGCCAGGACAUUUAUCAUCCUAUUACUGUAACAAAUCCGGGCUCCCAAUACAUGAAAGGUAAAAUGAAUUACCGACGUUAAGCCGUCAAUAAAGUCAUUUCUGUAAA